ACUUUAAUUGAAGAGUUUGAUCAUGGCUCAGAUUGAACGCUGGCGGCAGGCCUAACACAUGCAAGUCGAGCGGUAACAGGAAGAAAGCUUGCUUUCUUUGCUGACGAGCGGCGGAC
rnacentral:rRNA from 1 species